rnacentral:lncRNA from 1 species
AGCCAUGAAAAAAGUAGUUCAUAAAGUUUUACUAGUAGAACAAGGACCUGAAUGAAGGUGGUGGCAGUAAGAAACUUGGAAAAAAAAUGAUACAUAACAAAGACUAAAACUGCUCUCCAACAGUAUAUUGUCCACUAUAAAUCAGAUACUAUAGAAAUAAGAAAUAUAAAAAAAAAACUUAGCCACUAGCAUGCUUCCCAAUCACAUGGAAAUUCUAGAUCUACCUAAUUUAAUCUAUAGUUUCAGGAAAUGGAUUAAUAGAUCUUGAUAUGAGACAGCUGCUGACCCCUGUGAAAAUUAAAAACAUUUUAAAAGCCCUCUUCCUUUUUUGUUAUCUCUGAAAUAACCAGUUUUCUAGGAAAAAGGAAAAGAGUACCAUAUUUUUCAUAAUCUCUGUAAUGCAAGUGCCAAGCACAUGUGAUUUAUACCUGUUUUAUGACAUAUGGAUUCUGCCAAUCAUCUUUAGUUUAUCAAAACUAUUUUUAUGAAGGGGUGCAGAGUAUCAUUUUCCUGAAUUAUUAUUAGACUAGGCCACGUGUGUAAAUAAAUCUCUUGUUUCCAAAUCUCUUAUGUAAGUGCACUAUUAUAAGGACAUAUGCCCACAGAGUAAGCACACAAUAAGCGUUUCUUGAUUAGAUGACUUGGAACGUCAAUCAAUAACCAUAAUUUAUAUGGUAAUUAAUUCAGACCAAUGGAGAGAAGGAUUAUGAAACCAAAACACAGGAAAUAAUUGAGAAUCUUCUUCUUAGAGAUUAAAUUUGAUUCCAAUGGCUUGUUUAAAUUCAUGGUUUUGUGGUUCCAAGAUGUCAUAGAAAACUUGUUUUUUGUCAAAAUGGUCUCUAAUGUAAAGUAAAUCUUCAACGGAAUAGUUAUCAUUUUUUCCAGUCCAAAUAGUCAGGCUGUACCUGCAUUGAAUUUCUCAGGAUGCCAUCCUGUUGUCCAACCCAGGGAAAACGUCACGUCUGGAAAGAAGGAUGUCACGGUGUCUAAAAAUGGUUUUGCAUCUAUUACUUUGCUAUUUCCAUUUGGACCAGGAAGAAUAUCGGCAUUAAUCCAUACAGGACGCUUCAGAUGCCUCUUCACAUUUUCCAAGAGCAUCAUGGAUGGUUCUACAGCUGCCA